rnacentral:ncRNA from 1 species
UACCUGGUUGAUCCUGCCAGUAGUCAUAUGCUUGUCUCAAAGAUUAAGCCAUGCAAGUCUAAGUACGAGCUCUCGUACAGUGAAACUGCGAAUGGCUCAUUAAAUCAGUUAUGGUUCAUUUGAUCGUACAGUUUACUUGGAUAACUGUGGUAAUUCUAGAGCUAAUACAUGCGAGAAGCGCCGACCUCGCGGGAGGCGUGCU